rnacentral:rRNA from 1 species
ACUCCUACGGGAGGCAGCAGUGGGGAAUAUUGCACAAUGGGGGAAACCCUGAUGCAGCCAUGCCGCGUGUGUGAAGAAGGCCUUCGGGUUGUAAAGCACUUUCAGCGAGGAGGAAAGGUUGGUAGCUAAUAACUGCCAGCUGUGACGUUACUCGCAGAAGAAGCACCGGCUAACUCCGUGCCAGCAGCCGCGGUAAUACA